rnacentral:lncRNA from 1 species
CUUCGUUUGUUGUAUAAUGAAAAGUUACAUAGUUUUUUUGAGUGAUUAGUUCAAGUUUGACACUGAUUUCAACAUUUCUUUACUGGUUGCAAAGAAUCUGGAGUUGGAUCUCAAGAAUUGUUGUUGUUUUGUGUUUGAAUCGCACUCAGGUAUGUUUCAAAUGUCAAUAUUGUCACAUUUUUGUCAUGUAUUGUUAUUGUAAAUGGUUUAUUAGUUCUUUGUUAGUGUAUUACGUUAGUAAUGGUAGUUUGAAAAUAUCCAAAAAAAUCUAGGGUUUUUUUAGGGUUUUUACUAUUCAUAACUUGUCAGGUAUUUUUAGAGUUUUGUUUCAGGAAUCUGAUCGCCAAUAUUAUUAUUACAACUCGUUUUCACCACGGUGGCAAGUUUGUUUCUGAUGAAGAAUAUGGUCCAUGCUACAUAGGAGAAAGUGAGGUGGAAUAUGUAAGUAUGGAC